UGCAACUGCAGUGCCAUAGCCCAACAGAAAAAUGGCAGGGGAAGAGAUCAACAUAAGAACUAUUGGAAACUUCAAUAUUAGAGAAACAAAAUAUGAUGUGCAAAUAGUUAUUUGACAAAGCACAAAAGGAAAUGCCUGUAUGUAGAUUAUGGUUACCGGACAGGGUUUGCAUGAUACAGGAUAAAGAGUGACGCAGUAAAAGAUGAAUCUCGAUCUUUGCUGAUCCAAUCCUUUAGUUAACCCACUGAAAUUUCAUCUCUAUCUCUACUACUUAUAAAAGCACAAACAUAUUCAUCCCAACGUCCACCCAACUAAACGUACACGGACAAAUAAUAACCCCACAGUCAGCCCGGGGGCACUGCCAGGGCGUCGUGCUGUUGAAUUUAUGCGCAGGCAACGCAGGAAUCAAAUUGCCGGUUCAUUCUUAUUUCCCUUUCUUACUUUCCUUCGCGAUUCACUGUCCAGAGAGUAAGGGCAUUAGCAGCAGCCUUGAUUUCUUAUCAUUUCUCCAUGCUGCCACCAAAGGGAAUUAGCACGGCUGCUUCUUUGGUAGAUUUCAUUACGAGUUGUUAUCAUGUUCUGGCAUAUGGAUUUGUUUUAGACAUGAUAUUUAUCUACAAGAAGUUAUGAAUAUUGGAAGAUGUGCAGAACCACCGUGUGUCUCUAUAUAAAAAGCCAUUAUUUACUCAAUUGAAUAUUUGGAUUAUGAUUCCUUUAAUUUUCAGUGUUUGCUCAAUGUUUAAUCUGUAUUCUAUCUCCAGGCCAACCAUGUGGUUGUUAAUUUAAUGGCAUGCACAUUCACAUCACAUAGCAAGAGGCUAUUGUAUGUGCUGUCGGCGUCACUCUCCAGGACAUCAGGUCACUCAGAAACCAGCCGCCAAUGCAGUCGUCGCCCGUCUACAAGGUGCCCGUCCUAUCCGGCCCCCAUCCCUUCCGCACGUUGCUUGGGGACUGAACCGAGAAUCUCCGCAAUCUUUGCGCUGCUAAAUAGAGAACGCCUGAUCCCUGCUCUCCCAAAAUCUUCAGCUCUCUCCUCUGAAUUUAGUAGUUUGCUUCCUGCAGCACGCGACAGUCUCCAGUUUCCAUAACCUUCACUCCCUAGCUCCCAGAUCAGAAUGAACAAAACUUCACUCCACGCUACCACACCAUCAUCGACACUUUCUUGCAUCAUUUUCUGGUCUAAUGAGAUUAGUUGAUUGAAGCAUAAAUUAUUUUCUUGUUCAUAAAUCAGAGGGCAUUGGAAUCACGCGGUUCCGUAAAAGAGCAAAAAACACAAUUUCAAUUUUAUAUACGUGGAUCUGAUCUUUAGGAUGUUUUGGUAAAUUCAAUUCCUCUGCAUAUUUAAAUAGUUUAGCGAUGUUAGUUUGUGAAAUCUGGCCACUAAUAUGCUCAACAAUGAAUUUUGGUGUGUUUCUGUGUUGACUGCAGGUCUUUCAUGAUUUGUUUUCUACACUGGUCCAUGAUGCUUGAUUUAUUACGAUGUCUUUGAUUGUGAGCAGGGCAUUGGAGGCAUCAUGGGGGCAUUGUCUUGCAAUUUUGGCGAUCUCAAUGAAGGUGAAGAGAGUUAUCUGAAUAUCUAUGAUGCCCGUCAAUUAGCUCUGGAAUGCAUAUAUGACCAUGUCAUGCCCAAUUUCAGAGAGAAAACUUCUGAACCAUCAGGCAAAUUGAGGGACAAAUGUUUGACAGUACUUCUCUUCCUUCAAAGCAGAAAUAUACUACCGUUGACGUGUAAAUGAACAUUCUUUUUUUACUGGAAUCGGCAGGCAGCAGCUGAUGGAUUAUACUAUUCUUUACUUGUAUUGCCAUUUAUACAUGUAGUUGUAUGCAGAAUCAGAAUUGGUGCAUCGAGCCUGUUCAAUGCAACACAAGCAACAUGACCGUUCUUGGUGGCAUGAAGUUUCCAGCAAGCUAGGUAAUUGCAAUCACUUGGUGUAGUGUACCAGGUUUGAGACCCUAUCACCUUAUAGUAGUUGCACACUGAUACAUGAAUGCUAUUGUCACACUGAUAGGUCCUGAUGUGCAGUAUUUGUAAUUUCAGAGAAUAACUGUACGUGUUUUCUUAGCUGAAAGAACAAUUGUUCGGGUGAGGAAGUAAUUGUAAUUUUCCAUCUAAGGCCGUACUGCCUCCAAUAACUGCUGAUUAUACUUGGAUUUUGUGAUUUUGGUAUAUUACUGCAACAACGGUCGAUGGACAACUUGUCCAAUAACCUUUGCUUAUUAUCAUGGAGUCUUCAUAGCAUUGAGCUUACAAACCCCAAAUAUAUCCAUGGUAAUGUUGGACUUGUCCAAUAACCUUGCUUAUUAUCAUGGAGUCUACAUAGCAUUGAGCUUACAACGUAAGUGCAAGGCAGGAUACAGUGGAUUAAAUUUUUAUUCUUCAUGCCUACAAACCCCAAAUAUAAGUCUUGUUUGGAGAUACGCAUUAGCUUUCUGUAGUUCCGUCAAAACUCCCAGUAGCUUUAUAUGUGCUUGUGAUUUCAUGAAUGAAGAGCACCGAUUUGACUGUUGUUCAUAUAUUAUCACUGUUGGCUUCAGAGUUUCAGUUGCAAAAAAAUCACAUCAUUCGAGCUAACUGGCACAUAGAGAAUUAGCAAUGUUGUGCUUGCGGUCAUUCAAUACCUGAGUAAGGACCUAAUAGCUAUCUUGAAUGUGUGCAGUUUAUUGUUCUGUCUUAGCUUGCUUGCGGCUUCUAAAUUCUGAGAGUUGAAUGCAUCGAUGAACUGGCAAUGCAUAGGGAACUCCUUCAUGUUCAUCUGGAAACAGGGAACGAAAAGACUUGUAGAUAUUUUUUUUUCAUUGAUUUUUAUCUUUGUUACAUCAACUAUCAUUUAGGGCAAGUUUAAUUCUUCAGAACGUAUACGAUGAGUUGAGAAAUUAGUGUUGUAGUUGAACAUGAUGAUUUUGAAUAUUGUCUAUGUUCAAAUGAGAUUGAUUCGACUUCAGUGUAUUAGGGUGCAUGUUUUUUUAAAAGUCAUCAUGGUUCGGAUUUGAUGAUUUUAUGAAGAAAGUGUGGGCAUUUUUGGAGGCCAACUUUAGCAUUUUGGCUUAAAAAUAAAUAAGAUGGAAACAAAUUGUAAAAAUACAAGUCAUCAUAUAUAAAAGGUAUAAAAAAAGGUAUAAUUCAAAUUGUCGCUAGACGUGCGUUGCACGUGCCAGCUCACUAGUCAUAGUAGAUAGACAAACUUACAAAGAUUGAA